GGUAUGUGAAACACAUCCUCUUGUGAUUUAUGGAAUCAGUUUUUAAAAUAUAUGAGAUAACACACAUCGGUUCAAGUAAUUUCUAGACAAAAGUAAUAACUGCAAUUUAUGUAUUUGCCUAACCGAGUUCAUGUUUCUCUUUGCAGUACUAAAUGGCAAACACGGAUUAUUACGAACAGUGAUGGAUAACUGUGACGGAUAACGAACACGCACCUCAAAACAAAGUGUUUUAUAAACAUUAAAAGGGGAGUUUCAAUAAUACCUGCAAUUUAAACUAUGCAUGCUGCAUUGACGAGAAAAAGAUGCAAUUGUGGAAACUACCUCACCAUCAUGGCCGACUAAAAAUACCGUAUGGCGUCUUAAAGACUCCUCAUUGGGUAAUUGGGCCGAACGAACACAAGCUUGACGCUUUGCGAGUGUUGAUUGGAUGCAGCGUAUGUCAAUCAACGAAAGGCCCGCCUUACGGUGCUUAAGAAAACAUGGAACUGGAUUUAUAGGCUUUUCCCUUUUAUUGCUCCCCUCUCACAUCACGGACCGAUAAAAGGUGUUAGCAAAUACAUGUUCAGGAUUGGCUUGUCACAGUGGUUUACAGUGUGUGGCAUAAUAGUUACCCCCGUAACAUUUGAAGCAGACAUUUUUUAUUUUAAGCUAUUUAACUGGAAAUACAGGGCCUUCUGAAGCAAACUGGAGUUAAGUGCCACCCUCAAGGGCAAAAUGACGGCUCAACAUCAAGAAGGCACAAAAUAUUCUGUUUAAGAGAUGGCAGGAGAUGAAGCAAAAAUCUAUGUUGCUGAUGCAUGGAGCCCAUGACCCCAUCUCUGCAGUGUCUCUCUCUCUCUCUGUGCUAGGUGGCACUGAUGUGCAGUGAGGACUUAUAAAGCUGCAGACCUCUCAGAUGAUUUCUCGCAGUCUGCCAUUACAGGAAGUGUCUUCAUUUUACUGUUAUGAACUGGAAUCCUAAUGCAGCACUUUUAAACAAUCCCAGCAAGAUAAGGCAACCCCAGAAUGCACUGCGCCGAGCACAGCAUGGAUGGUGGAUGAUAUACUUAUAUUUCAUUUAAUACUUGCUAUUAUAGCAGGACAGAUCUCUGCGGUGUUGGGGGUCCCACAUGGCCCAAUGAGUGCUGUGGCUUGGAUUACAUCUUAUCCAUAUCAGCAGCUGUAGCCCCAACAAAGCCAGAGGACCCCUGGGCAAAAUUCAAGCUGGACAGAAUUCCCCAAGGACACUCUUGACAGGAAACGAGAUGGCAGAUGAAUAUCCAGUCUUAUAAACGUAUUACACGAUGCCUCAAUGUGUCAACAAGCUAACACUACCUACAAGCAUUUAGAAGCAAGUGUGUACACUGUCCGAAAAAUGGUCCGAAGCUGUCUCUUGGGCCGUACCCUUUAAAAAAGUUCCAAAUUUGUACCCUUCAGGUAACAUUUUGUACAAAUAUGUACCAUUGAGGAACUAAAUUAAUUAUUUAGGUGCAAAGGUGUACAGGAUAGUCCCCAAGUCUUUAUUUAAAGCCUAACAAGAUUGAAGGGUUGUUAAAAAAAAUGCAUGAAUUUGGCCUGAAUCAUACACACAAGUUGGGCUCGGACCUCAUGCAGUGCGUGGCUUAAAUUUUAAUUUAGUGAAUGAGGGCAUGCGAGGUCAGAGUAAAAUAUUUACUUAAUAUUUAUGUACUGUAUAACUGCUAUUGUAAAUUUUCUUUUAUACAGCCGCAGAAGGUGUUGGGGAAUAUUUUUGGCUGAAUAAAUUUCAUCUACUUAAGGUCAUUACAGAUUGUUAACACAUCUUUGAAAUCAAACAACCUGUCAGUUAUUCUGUCAGUGCAUCAGUGGACUGAAUGUCUGCGAUUGUCAGUUAGUCUGGAUUGAAAGGUCAUUCAUUUUUGCCCGAGGUCAUCCAAUGCAUCCACUGUGACAUCACGCACAGAUGAUGUAAGGCACCAUAGUGAGCUAAGAGCUAGUUUCAGUGGGAGGGGUGUUCAUUUGGAAGAGAGAAAGGUGCUUUGUUUGCUUCACUUCCUCAUCUCCGCCACAUAACUAGAACAUUGUUCGUGUGUUAUAGUAUUUGCGCAUUUGAAAGGAAACUGAGUUGCCCUUUGUGGAUCUGACCUAAUGGCCACAUCUGAGAGAGGAGAAAGUAUAUUUUCCAAGUCUGUGGACCAAGGACAAAUUUACAUAAAACAGAAACAAUCUAAACAACUAUGACAGUUAACCAUAAGAAAGAAAAAUGGCAUUUAGGAUCUCUUUAAUAUCUCAAGUGUUUCUCCAAAAAGAUCAAACAUGGAGAUUUUUUCUCUUGGGAAACAACAGACCCCAGUUAUCUCACAUGUGUCCCCUCUAGAGUUACAGAAGAGAUAGCAUCACAGAUGCACAGAUAAACUUUAGAGUAUUAAGAUCUCAUGGUGACUGCAUUUAGCUGGGUGGGUGACUUCUUGGGGUGCUCAGAGCUGUAACGUAGGGCGGGAUUUCGAUCAUCCAGAGAUCUUGAUAACAUCUUGAUAAGUGCCGUUUUAUGGGCAGUGAGCACUGGCUUUAUACAGCAGCAAUUUGAAGAAUUUAAACUGCACAGCUUCUUAUGAAUUUAUGUCAAAACCCAGAUAAAGGGUACUUUUUUGUGAUUUACUAUAUAUAUUUUGGUGGUUUUCUAUAAAAGCUCUAAGUUCUAUAAAGAACAUUUUGUGAAAAUAUAAUUUUGAUGUCUUAAAUGUUUGACAUGGCCUUACUCAGGCAAUAUUAAACGGCACCUAUUG